CUCAGUGCGACUUCAACAUUACAGGUGGAGAGUCAUGCCUACUGCAAAGAACUGCCAGCAGAGUACUGUCUUCUAUGAUCUUUGGAGAUAAAGCUGCAUCUCCGGUGACCAAGUAGACUUAAA